CUCCUUUGGAAACCUAUUUGAUCGAAGAAACUCGUCAAACAUGAACAAAUCUUUCUUUUCGUGCUCUGCAGGAUCAGGUUUACGAAUUUCGUGACCGGGGUCUCUUGCCGAAAGGGUAAAACACCUCAUCAUGCAAGCCUAAACAAAAUAAAAAAUGCGCGCUGAUUUUUACCUCCUACAGAUUUACCUGAUGAUGUUUCGGUCUCCCCAUGUUCAGUGUUAGCUUUUAUUCGUGAUUGUUUUGUUAUCAGUGGCUUCCUAUGAUGGCUAUUUUUCUCAUAUGAUCGAGAUUUGGGAAAAAAGAGCUGCAUUGUGGAACUCUCCGAGGGUGCUUGAUGAACUGAUGAUCACGAAAACACAAAAUGCAACAGUUGCGUAAAGCUUCCCAGAGUGAGAACCUUUCAAAAGACCCUGAUGGAGAUCUGCUCGGGCAGGUUUUAAAAGGAAAACGAUUUCUCUUUCGCUAGCAGUUGGGAACUUUUUACUCCGAUUUUACAGCAGAAUGCCACCGGGAGCCCAUUACUCAGAAACUCUAACAAAAAACAAGUUAGCCUGCGUCUUGAAUUGAAGUUCGAAAAUUUUGUGUAUUAAAGAGGAUAUCUAAGUUUUGUAACGAAGCCAAAAAUAAAUAGAGAUCUUUAACUCAA
rnacentral:lncRNA from 1 species